rnacentral:rRNA from 1 species
GACGAACGCUGGCGGCGUGCUUAACACAUGCAAGUCGAACGGAAAGGCCCUGCUUUUGUGGUGUGCUCGAGUGGCGCACGGGUGGGUAACACGUGAGUCACCUGCCCUUGCCUUUGGGAUAACUUCAGUAAACUGGGGCUACUACCGGAUAUGAGCUCCUGCUGUAUGGUGUGGGUUGGAAAGUUUCGGCGGAUGGGGUUGGACUCGCGGCUUAUCAGCCUGUUGGUGGGGUUGUGGCUUGCCAAGGCUGUGACGGGUAGCCGGCCUGAGAGGGUGACCGGCCACACUGGGAAUGAGACACGGCCCAGACUCCUACGGGAGGCAGCAGUGGGGAAUAUUGCACUAUGGGCGGAAGGCUGAUGCAGCAACGCCGCGUGCGGGAUGACGGACUUCGGGUUGUAAACCGCUUGCGCCUGUGAUGAAGCGUGAGUGACGGUAAUGGGUAAAGAAGCACCGGCUAACUACGUG